CACAUAUGUACAUACAUACAAUAUAAAACAACAAAGUUUUCUAUUGUCAAAAGACACUACUCUAUGGAGCUUCUUCCAGAAGAUGUUUGGAAUUAGGUCUCUGAACUUGCACAACAGGAGAAAUCUGGACGAUGGAUGGAUGGAUGGAUGGAUGCACUAACGGUACAACAUCAACUGAUGCUGCAACAACAACUAAUACUAUUAUUCCCUCUAUCUCUAUGUACGGUACAAUUUUUUAUGCGCUUGUUCUUAUUUUUCUUCGUUUUUUUUUUUUGCACUUAAUGACGUGUAACGAGCUCGCGCGCGUGUUUUGCAGUUGUCUUUGUGUGCGCGCUCUUUCUCUCUCUCCCUCUCUCUCUCUUGAUCCCCCUCUUUCUCUCUGCCCCUCCCUACCUUUCUUUGGUGAGCGAGCAGCAUACAUACAUAUACAUAUGUACUAGCGAUUGGCGGACUAUGCGCGUGCGAGCGAGAUGCCACACUUUGAAAAUAAACAGGUAAAAAGAAUAGGGUGUAAUGAUUCUGGACAGAAGCUUGAACCGGCAAGAAGGAAGUGUCUCCAUCUGUCCCUCAAUAUUCCACCAUUUUUAAAGAUGAUGUCUCAAGGAGUUCUCCACAGAAUAGUUAUAAAUGUAGCCACACAACUGUAACCCACAUCUGCCACGGAACUAAUCGACCCGCUAGGGUAUCUCUGCGUCGGUCCCCCGAGGCUAGCAUUUCUCUCUUCUUUUUUUUUUUGCUGGUGCUGCUCUUGCUGCUCUGCCCGCCUUUUAGUCAGAGGGGGACGGGGGGACUGCAGCUUUUUCUGUAUUAUUUGAGUGAAAUGAUCGUCAGCAAACAGACCAAGUGGCUCGGCAGUUUCUGUUGUUGUUGUUGUUGGUCAAUAAUUAUCAAGCAUACAUAAAUAAUUAGUCAGCAAGAGCUGACCAUGAAAAUCAGCAGAAAAAAAAACGAGGGAGAAAUCAAUCAACCCCUGUUCGAAUUCGAGGAUAAGCCAGCCGCAUAAGACAAAAUUUCGAACAACAAUCGAAAUGAGCGACGGAGAGGGGCAGCGCAGCAGCAACGACAGCGGCAUCGGCAGCGGCAGCAAGUCAUUUAAACGGUCAAUUGCCUCAGGCACAAAAGCAAAUGUCCGAAUGAGAGAGAGAGAGAGCUACAACAGCAGUCACAAAAACAAAAAACUAAACGAAAAGAAGAGGCGGCACGGCACUGCAAGCGACGGGGAGGAAGAGGGACAACAGCUGACAGCUGAAAAGUGCAGGCCAAAUGCCGAAAAAAUUAAGCAAAUGUUUUUCAUAUUUCAUUUCUCACCUAAAAAGAAAUGUUGCCAUAACCAUAAAUACACAUGUGCGUGCAUACCUACAUACCAUAUGUGCAUAUGUAUGUAUGUAUGUACAGCAUGUACAUAUAAAUUAU
rnacentral:sRNA from 1 species